GGCGAACGCUGGCGGCGUGCUUAACACAUGCAAGUCGAACGGAAAGGCCCUGCUUUUGUGGGGUGCUCGAGUGGCGAACGGGUGAGUAACGCGUGAGUAACCUGCCCUUGACUUUGGGAUAACUUCAGGAAACUGGGGCUAAUACCGGAUAGGAGCUCCUGCUGCAUGGUGGGGGUUGGAAAGUUUCGGCGGUUGGGGAUGGACUCGCGGCUUAUCAGCUUGUUGGUGGGGUAGUGGCUUACCAAGGCUUUGACGGGUAGCCGGCCUGAGAGGGUGACCGGUCACAUUGGGACUGAGAUACGGCCCAGACUCCUACGGGAGGCAGCAGUGGGGAAUAUUGCACAAUGGGCGGAAGCCUGAUGCAGCAACGCCGCGUGCGGGAUGACGGCCUUCGGGUUGUAAACCGCUUUCGCCUGUGACGAAGCGUGAGUGACGGUAAUGGGUAAAGAAGCACCGGCUAACUACGUG
rnacentral:rRNA from 1 species